UGUGCCAUAAGCGCCUCGGACCGCUCACCGUAUUCGACAUUCAGUGGCUGAGUUGCUCCAUGAAGUACAUCAGGAUUUCGCUCCGUACCUGUUCCAAGCUGCAGGGGCUCCAAAUAUCUUUGUGAGGUUGACGGAUUCUUCUCGUUAUUCAAUACUCACAUUUUGGAUGUAAUAAUCAAACGUUAAAUCCAAAUAGACUCUUUUGUAUCCUAACAGACGUCUUUUGUAUCCAAACAUACGUCUUCUGGAUCUAAAUAGUCCUCUUUCGCUGCCAAAUAACCGCUUUUGGAUGCAGUAGGAUUCAUUCAGUGACACGGAAUUCGCCGGACUGCCAGGUACGACUGCUCGCCACUGGUUAAUAUUAUUCACUAGUCAUCCAUCUUGGAUCUUGAAAACGUAACCAUAAUGAGACAGCAAAGCUUGAAGAGUUUCGUGGUUUUCGCAGUCGUCUUAGGGCUGCUCUUCGCUUUCUUUUUCAAGGAGGACGUCGGCGGUCGGGCGUGUUCCUGCAACCAUCGUGUGAACGCAUCCCAACGACACCCAACGGUAAACAGCUUCCGGGACGAAGCCUUCGAGCCCAUGAUGGAGCUAUACCGGAAGAAGGCCAAGGGUCAGCUGGUGCCGAAAUUGAAAAGCUUUAGAAAUGGCACAGUACCCAGCUUCCUGAUAUGGGCAGAACCUUUCUACGAUUGGUAUUGGGACCCUGUUUUCAUCCAAAUCUACCAAGACCUGUGUCCUCUCCCCUGCAGAGUGGAAUAUGAUGUCACUAAGAGGAAUACGACGGACGCAAUACUCAUCGCCCUACGAGAAGCGAAAGACAGCGAAAACGGUCAUAAAGAGCCUUUCUCCUCGGGACCCUA